AUGGCAAAGCUAGAAUAAAAACAGAAAAAUGGCGACGGUCACGUUGUGGCGAGCCUUGCUGCGUCAUUAGAUAAUCCUCAUGCAAAUAGCGGGAUGAACAAAGAAAGGGGGGCUCGGGACCCCCGAGGGCGCAGGUGGAGCCGGGAUGUUGUUUACAUGACGGAUCCGGCGGGAGGAGUCUGCGAGGAGGAGGCGGAGAGAGGAAGAGCGGAGUCCCCGCGGCGGCGGCGGUGGCGGGCCGGGGUGCGGGCGAGCGCCGCGCGGUCCCCGAAGCCUGGACACGGGAGCCUAGGGUAGGCAGGCGGGGGCGCGGGCUGCGGGAAGGCUGUCAG
rnacentral:lncRNA from 1 species